rnacentral:lncRNA from 1 species
GCUUAGGGAGAUUGGGAUGGUGCAUUAGUCACAUUAGACCUACUCAUCCCAGCUGGGAGUAUCCAGAAGAUAUACCCUUGACCAAUGCCUUGCAAAAUAGAUUUGUGAGGGCAGCACCUGCAUCUUUGAAGAACCGUGUAAUUGCUCUUCUCUGUAUAUUAGAUCUAACAGUGGGAACCACAGUCACUCAACUACAAAAUUUAAAUACAGUGGGAAUAAUUGGAUCCCGAGGUGGCAGAGGCCAAGUGGCAGCACUCAACUGUGACAGGCAAGGAGUCCUCAACUCCAGGCUGUGGACCAGUAUGGGUUGGUUUGUGACCUGUUAGGAACCAGGCCACACGGCAGGAGGUAAGAAGCCCUUUGAUAGCGAAGACAAUAUCUAAUGCUGUGUAUAUAAAGCUUCAAAAAUAUUGGUUAAAUCAAUUGCCAGAGACAGAAAUGGGAAAGUUCCAGUUGUCCAGCAUGUAAUUUGGAGAAAAAAAAAGAACACGCUGUCUUCAGGAUAGGUCCUUGACAACUAUUUUUUGAAGAGCUAUGGGCCAGGAUCUGAGCUGGGAUUUUUAAUCUGUAUUCUCAAUAUGCAUGGAAUAUAUGUGUCAGAAUCUAGCCAUUAUGCAGGAAGACCACUGCUGGACUUGAGAAAAAUUUCCACAAUGCACUAUUUUCAAUUAUGGACAUAUUAGAAAAGAGUAUUCUACAUUUUGUGCCACAUUUUCUGAAUCCAGUCUAUCAUUGUUGGAGAUUUGGGUUGGUUACAAGUCUUUGCUAUUGUGAAUAGUGCCGCAAUAAACAUACAUGUGCAUGUGAAAAUGUGGCACAUAUACACCAUGGAAUACUAUGCAGCCAUAAAAAAUGAUGAGUUCAUGUCCUUUGUAGGGACAUGAAUGAAGCUGGAAACCAUCAUUCUCAGCAAACUAUUGCAGGGACAAAAAAACCAAACACUGCAUGUUCUCACUCAUAGGUGGGAAUUGAACAAUGAGAACACUUGGACACAGGAAGGGGAACAUCACACACUGGGGCCUGUUGUGGGGUGGGGGGAGGGGGGAGGGAUAGCAUUAGGAGAUAUAUCUAAUGUUAAAUGAGGAGUUAAUGGGUGCAGCACACCAACAUGGCACAUGUAUACGUAUGUAACAAACCUGCAUGUUGUGCACAUGUACCCUAGAACUUAAAGUAUAAUAAAAAAUAUAUUAAAAAAGAAAAGAGUAUUCUAUUCAUUUUGUAUAUUUUUCCAUAUUUCUACAAAGGGUCCUAACAUAUAAGUAACUUCUGUUGCUCAGUGUAUGACCUUCGUUAAACAGUGCUUGUGCCAAAACCUCAAGAAUGCAUUACUUUCCUCUUUUGAGAGGAGAAAAAUAUAAUUUUGCAGGGUUGCAUGGGAUGAAAAUAAUGAAAAUAUACAAAUCCGUUAUUUAUAUUUAGUUGACUUAUUUGUCCCACACAGCCU